rnacentral:lncRNA from 1 species
UCUCCAUUAUGUGAAUAUCAAAGUUAUUGUCGGGAUACAUCUAUUCCUCUACCAUCCCUUCAACCAAGUCUAGAUUCUCUAUCAUGUAUCAUUAUCCCUGUUCAUAUAUAAAGAUUAGAUGCAUAUAUUAGAUAUUAUGAAUCUAACUUAAGAUCAUACAUAUUAUUUACAAUAAUAUAAUACAAACCCAUUUAGAUGUGUGCCCUAGAUGCCA